ensembl:snRNA U6 U6 spliceosomal RNA
GUGCUUGCUUUGACAUCACAUAAAACCAGAAUGAUACAGAGUUUAGCAUGGCCUUUGUGCAAGGAUGACAAGCAAAUUUGCGAAGCGUUCUGUAUUUUU